CAAUCCUGUUUCUGUGAGGCUGCAAUUACCGGCUUCUAUGAGGAUUCAUCCUACGUUCCAUGUUUCUCAACUGCAGCCAGUCUCUCACAGCCCGCUGUGCCCACCCGUGGAACCUCCUCCGCCCGCCCGGGUGGUGGACGGGGGUCCUGUCUAUUCAGUCCGGCGGCUGCUGGAUGUGCGCCGUCGUGGCCGAGGUUUCCAGUUUCUGGUGGACUGGGAGGGGUAUGGCCCGGAGGAGCGCUCCUGGGUCUCGAGGGCCUUCAUUGUGAACCCAGCGCUUAUUGUGGAUUUUUACAGGAGGCAUCCUGACAAGCCUGGAGGACCGCCGGAUGGCGUUCCUUGAGGGGGGGAUACUGUUAGGAGGUGGUGGGUAGGUGUACUGUUGUUGUUUGGGUUUUGUUUUCCUUUUGGUUAUAGGUAGGCGAGGCGGGGCUUGAUGGCAUUCCAACACACCUGCGACGCAUCGGACGUCAUCAGUGAGCGCUUUUAGGGAGCAGAGUCACGGACGUCUGGUGUCGGAGUAUUAUCGCUGUCACAAGUGCCUGUUCCAUCGCCUGCCCGCCUACCUAGGAUUUUGUGUUGGCUAUUCUGGAUCCGCGACGGAGUGCUACGUACCAUCAGGCGGCGAUCACCGCAGCGGCUGUGGUUUGGGGUGGUCAAGUAGCUCCGGUGCGUCUGCUACCUACCUGUAUGCUUCGGCUCCAUCUCAUCGCCUCGGUGUUUUCCUGCUGGCACAUUUUUAUUUAUCACUGUAUAUAGCCCUUUCCCUUGUAAAUAUUCCCCCUUACUCGUGUAUAUAAAAACUUGCAUCACA
ensembl:lncRNA